CCUGAUUUGAUAUUCUUGAAUUUGAUUUUGAAUAGAUGACUUUCGUCUCUGUUAUCAGUCCACUACGACCGUCUAUGAUUCUUUCGAAUUUUGAUUUGUGAACGCUCCAGAGUAUUACCUCAACGUUCUGAUAGCUCCAGAGUAUUACCUCAACUAUCAACACUAAAAUUUUUUAAAAUUUUAGGAGAAAUGAAAAACUUCAUUCAAACUUAAUUUCAUUCUGAUUACAAACGAGCAUCAAGGCUCUUAUUUAUAGCGGAGUAGGACUCACAAGUAGAUCACAUGUCCUUAUCCGAAACAGCUAUUAAAGCAAAAAGAAAAACGCACUAAAGAAAACGGACAAACAAUAAUUUACAUAAAGUAGAUGCCUUAGUGAUAAGGUAGUCUUAUUCGACCCUCAUUUGUCUGCCACUACAUUGUGACGUGUUGUUUUCCACUAAGUAUUUCUUUGUUGUUUUGUGCCGACGAUUUUGGCGGACAGAUUUCACACACGUGUCCUUUGUAA
rnacentral:lncRNA from 1 species